rnacentral:rRNA from 1 species
GACGAACGCUGGCGGCGUGCUUAACACAUGCAAGUCGAACGGAAAGGCCCUGCUUUUGGGGGGUGCUCGAGUGGCGAACGGGUGAGUAACACGUGAGUAACCUGCCCUUGACUUUGGGAUAACUUCAGGACACUGGGGCUAAUACCGGAUAGGAGCUCCUGCUGCAUGGUGGGGGUGGGAAAGUUUCGGCGGUUGGGGAUGGACUCGCGGCUUAUCAGCUUGUUGGUGGGGUAGUGGCUUACCAAGGCUUUGAAGGGUAGCCGGCCUGCGAGGGUGACCGGCCACAUUGGGCCUGAGAUACGGCCCAGACUCCUACGGGAGGCAGCAGUGGGGAAUAUUGCACAAGGGGCGGAAGCCUGAUGCAGCAACGCCGCGUGCGGGAUGACGGCCUUCGGGUUGUAAACCGCUUUCGCCUGUGACGAAGCGUGAGUGACGGUAAUGGGUAAAGAAGCACCGGCUAACUACGUG